rnacentral:tRNA from 1 species
CCUAGAUACGCCAACCGGUAGAGCGGCUCGGCUCGGGCACAUACGCUCCGCGUAGGUCGCCGAGUGUUUGCAGGUUCGACUCCUGCUCUGGGCA